CGCGUGCGCGCGGAGCGAGGACUGCGGAACCCCAGGCGCGGGAGCCGCACCAGCUGCGGGCUAGCUGUGGAAUGCGUGGCCGGACAAGUUUGCUCCAGCUGCCAGAGGCAGGCUCCAGCCGCGGCUCGCGCGCUCCCUCCGGGUCCCCGCGCCCGGGUAGGAUGGAAGAAACCUGGCAGAGCAGACACCACUGCGCUUGCUUUGCUUGAGAAAGGAUAAAGGAAGAGAAGCUGCAGCUGCUCUGGGCGCAGACAGCAAACAAGCCUCACUGUGUGGCCCCUUCACAAAAGGGGCUGCAGAAAGCCGGCAAACAGAUGCGUUCUGCCGAAGACAUCCACAGAUCCACCUGCCACGAUGAUUAAAGGUUCAAAGGACUGUCCAGGAAUUGAACUCAGGACCUUGUGUUGCCAGUCAGGUGCAGUGUUACUGAGCUACAUCUCUGGCCCUGUGCUAAUAAUCUUAGCUGCUGAAAGUAAGUCAUUGUAUGUAUGAGGUUAGAUUAAGCCAGGGCUGGUAGCACACACCUGUGAUCCUAGAAAUCAGGAAAUCCCAAAUUCAAGCCCAGCUAACCUGGGCUUACAGUGAGAACUUGUCUCAAAGAAACUAAUAGGAAGAAUUAUUAUAGGUACAUCUUAAGUAGUUCUUAAAAUGUUAAACUGACUUUUAAGCUCUAAAAAAGAACAAAUUCA
rnacentral:lncRNA from 1 species